rnacentral:lncRNA from 1 species
UAUCAUUAGAAUUUAGUAGUAUUCAUUCUCUGAUAUCACUAUAUGUUUGUUUACUUUUUACUUUAUUUAUCGCUUUAUUGUAGACGUCUUAUAUGUUGUAGGCAUAUGGCGAGUCUGGACACGCACCGGCCAGGCUUCCGCUGGAUCCCGGAGCGUGACAAUUAUAUAUUUUAUGAAAAAAUCAAUAGCCUCAUAACUUAAUAAAUUCUCUAAUUUUUUAUAAUUAUUUUACCAAACCUUUUC